UACGAAGGGGGCUAGCGUUGUUCGGAAUUACUGGGCGUAAAGGGCGUGUAGGCGGCCACCGCAAGUCGGUUGUGAAAUCUCCGGGCUUAACCCGGAAAGGUCAACCGAUACUGCGGGGCUAGAGUGCAGAAGGGGCAACUGGAAUUCUCGGUGUAGCGGUGAAAUGCGUAGAUAUCGAGAGGAACACCUGCGGCGAAGGCGGGUUGCUGGGCUGACACUGACGCUGAAACGCGAAAGCUAGGGGAGCGAACGGG
rnacentral:rRNA from 1 species